AACGUAGGAGCCUAGCGUUAUCCGAAUUCACUGGGCGUAAAGCGCGUGCAGGCGGUGGGGUAAGUUGGAUGUGAAAUCUCCUGGCUCAACUGGGAGAGGACGUUCAAGACUGCCACACUAGAGGACGGUAGAGGAAGGUAGAAUUCCCGGUGUAGUGGUGAAAUGCGUAGAUAUCGGGAGGAAUACCAGUGGCGAAGGCGGCCUUCUGGGCCGUUCCUGACGCUCAGACGCGAAAGCUAGGGGAGCAAACGGG
rnacentral:rRNA from 1 species